rnacentral:rRNA from 1 species
GCUAAGGAGGGGUCGGGCCUGGUUAGUACUUGGAUGGGAGACCACCUAGGAAGACCAGGGUGCUGUGGGCU